rnacentral:rRNA from 1 species
GAUCCUGGCUCAGGAUGAACGCUAGCUACAGGCUUAACACAUGCAAGUCGAGGGGCAGCAUGAACUUAGCUUGCUAAGUUUGAUGGCGACCGGCGCACGGGUGAGUAACACGUAUCCAACCUGCCGAUGACUCGGGGAUAGCCUUUCGAAAGAAAGAUUAAUACCCGAUGGCAUAGUUCUUCCGCAUGGUAGAACUAUUAAAGAAUUUCGGUCAUCGAUGGGGAUGCGUUCCAUUAGGUUGUUGGCGGGGUAACGGCCCACCAAGCCUUCGAUGGAUAGGGGUUCUGAGAGGAAGGUCCCCCACAUUGGAACUGAGACACGGUCCAAACUCCUACGGGAGGCAGCAGUGAGGAAUAUUGGUCAAUGGACGAGAGUCUGAACCAGCCAAGUAGCGUGCAGGAUGACGGCCCUAUGGGUUGUAAACUGCUUUUAUAAGGGAAUAAAGUGGGAGUCGUGACUCUUUUUGCAUGUACCUUAUGAAUAAGGACCGGCUAAUUCCGUG